GUCGUCAUCGUUUCAGUUUUCUGCAAAACAAGGCUGAAGUACGGGAUGAGAUUGUACCAGGAAGUGAGGGAGCUGAGUCAAAUCGCUGAGGAUAAUCGGCAACUAUACUGGUUUAAGAACAAGCUAACAAAACAGAACAAGCACGCCAAAGAGCUUGAGGAAUCUUUGGGAAUUUUGAGACAGAGCAUGAAGAUGCAGCAUGCGCAGAACAGAGAAGAGGUGUUUUAAUCUCGAAAAUACACACUAUGUAUUGAAUUCCUACUGACAGAUGCAUGUUAAAAGAGACGCAAAGGAACAUAAUUUCCAGAGGCUCCAACAGCAGGAGCAUGCUAAAGUUGUUGAUAUAAGCAAGAGGGCUUAGGAGUUCUCUAGCUUCAUAAAGUUUCAAGAGAAAGAGAUGAAAACGUUUAUGGAGGAGAGGGAGAAGAAGAUGGCAGAGAUGAACAAGAGAUAUUUCGAGAAGAUGCUUGAUCUAGAGAGGGAAUAUGAUGUCUUUGGAGCUGUUCAUGAUCAAGAACGGCUUAACGAUGCAGAUGACGCAGACUACUAGCUUUCAUUGGUUAUAAGUAGAACAACAGUAGCCGAAAAGCAGAGGGAUACAACUUCAUAUCGACAGGUCGAGACAUUGAAGCAGAAGCUAAUGAAACUGAUAAAAGAGAAUAAUUUCCUUAAACG